rnacentral:rRNA from 1 species
UACGUAGGGUGCUAGCGUUGCUCGGAAUUACUGGGCGUAAAGCGCACGUAGGCGGCUUUCUAAGUCGGGGGUGAAAUCCUGGAGCUCAACUCCAGAACUGCCUUCGAUACUGGAGAGCUCGAGUCCGGGAGAGGUGAGUGGAACUGCGAGUGUAGAGGUGAAAUUCGUAGAUAUUCGCAAGAACACCAGUGGCGAAGGCGGCUCACUGGCCCGGUACUGACGCUGAGGUGCGAAAGCGUGGGGAGCAAACAGG